rnacentral:rRNA from 1 species
GGAUGAAGGCCCUUGGGUCGUAAACUCCUUUUUUAUCAGAAGAAGAGGUGAGAGUUGAGAGAUGAGAAGUUAGAUGCUACUAUGUAGAUAUGAUUAAAAGCCAUAAAGAUCUUGAUGUAUUUCAAAGAUCAAAGAAAUUAUGUCCAAAAUUAGUUGAGUAUGCAAAAAGAUUUCCUCGAGAAGGUUGGUUUCUUAGGGAUCAAAUAUGCAGAUCGGGAAAUUCCAUCACAGGAAAUAUUGCGGAAGGUUAUGGCAGAUCGACUGCUGAAUUUAAGCAAUAUCUAACAAGAUCUCUUGGUUCAUGUAAUGAAACAGUUAAUCAUCUAGAAGAUGCUAUCAAUGUUUCUUUUGGAGACAAAAAAGAAGGUUUGUUUCUGAUUGGAGAAUAUGAAAUAGUAGGAAAACAGCUUUACAGACUAAGAUAAAAUUGGAAAUAAUCCCACUUCAAAUUUCUCACAUCUCACUUCUGACGGUAUGGUAAGAAUAAGAGGUUGCUAACUCUGUGCCAGCAGCAGCGGUAAUACAGAGACCUCAAGCGUUAUCCGGAUUUACUGGGUGUAAAGGGUCCGCAGGCGGAACAGCGGGUCAGGGGUAAAAUCUUCGAGCUCAACUCGAAACCCGCUCCUGAAACUACUGUUCUAGAGUUCGGAAGAGGCAAUCGGAAUUGCUGGUGUAGUCGUAAUAAGCGUUGAUAUCAGCAAGAACACCAAAUGCGAAGGCAGAUUGCUAGUACGUAACUGACGCUCAGGGACGAAAGCGUGGGGAGCAAACAGGAUUAGAUACCCUGGUAGUCCACGCCCUCAACGAUGCACACUAGGUAUUGGCAGUAUCGACCCUGUCAGUGCCGUUGAAAAAAGCUAACGCGUUAAGUGUGCCACCUGGGGAGUACGGCCGCAAGGCUAAAACUCAAAGGAAUAGACGGGGACCCGCACAAGCGGUGGAUUAUGUGGUUUAAUUCGACGAUAAGCGAGGAACCUUACCUGGGCUCAACUACUAGCUGCAUUGGGGCAGAAACGUCCCAAGCCUUCGAGGGUGCUAGAUAGGUGCUGCAUGGUUGCCGUCAGCUCGUGCCGUGAGGUGUACCGUUAAGUCGGGAAACGAGCGCAACCCACGUCGUAUGUUAAAUUGUACAUACGAGACUGCCUGCGCAAGCAGGAGGAAGGGGUGGAUGACGUCAAAUCAGCAUGGCUCUUACGUCCAGGGCUACACACAUAAUACAAUGGCCGGUACAGAGGGUUGCUAAGUCGCGAGAUGGAGCUAAUCCCAUCAAAACCGGCCCCAGUUCAGAUUGUAGGCUGCAACUCGCCUACAUGAAGUUGGAAUCGCUAGUAAACGCAUAUCAGCCACGGUGCGUUGAAUACGUUCUCGGGUCUUGUACUCACCGCCCGUCACACCAUGGAAAUUGGCAAUGCCCAAAGCCUCGUAAGGGGUUAAGGCAGGGUCAGUAACUGGGGUGAAGUCGUAACAAGGCAUCCCUAGCGGAAGCUGGGGAUG